GUGGGGAGGCAGCUGAGUGGAGCUGAGGAGGGUCACACCUCCCUGCCCCCAGCUCCUGCUUUGUCCAGCCCCCCAAGCAGCCACACAACUGGAGCCUCGCAAACAGGACGUGCAAACAGGCCUCCACCAGAUGAAGCCCAUGGUUCUGGGCUCCACGCAGACAGAGCCUCUGGCUCUUGGCUGCGGGGGCUGCCUGGCACGUUUCCAGGCUCAUGUGACUGGGAGCAUGACCACCUCCCCUUGCAAGGUUUGCUCCACUUUGGAGUCUCUGGGGCACCAGUUAGAGGAGCUCCAGGCCGCAGUCCAGAGACUGUGUGCCAUCAGGGAUGGUGAGCGGGAGAUAGACUCCUACUGCCAGGCCUUUCACCCCCUGGAGGUGGAGGGUAGACCAAGUUCAUCUUCCAGGACAAGGGAGGACUUGGGGAUCUCCCAUACUGUCCAGCCAGGGGGUUGGACCAAGGUGAUCAAGGGCCCCAAGGCCCACUGCACCAAGGUCCCCACCCCUCUGGGGCUUUGCAGCUGGUACAAACCUCUUGCAGCUCCAGCAGAGCCUGCAGAGAUGCCAGCUCCUGCAGGCAAGGGAGGAUCACCCAUCCCUACUCUCCCUAAGAUGAAACACAGAGUGGUCAUCAUGGGAGACUCCCUCCUGAGGGGGCUUGAGGGGGCAAUCUGCCACCCUGACCCCUUAGCCUGGACAGUCUGCUACUUCCUGGGGGCUCACAUCCAGGACACAGUGGAGAGGAUCCCAAAGAUUAUCCUGCCCUCCAACCACUACCCUAUGCUCCUUAUCCAUGUGGGCACGAACGACAUGGCUCAGAGCAAUCCCAGCCAGAUCAUGAGAGACUACAGGGCUCUGGGAGCAGGGUUUAUGGGGUUAGAGGCACAGGUGGUCUUUUCCUCGCUCCUCCCAGUUGUGGGUCAUGGGCUGAGGAGGGAGUAAUGGUUCGAGGUAGUUAUAAAUUAGAAUUAGUAUGCAGAUCCUAGAUGUAAAAAUCGCAUGGUGGAUAGGGGAGAGUUUGCUAAAACUACAAAGCUAAUUUCUCCUUUUUUUCCGAUGGAUGAAGAUGAGCCAGUUUGUACCUCUUCCCUCUCUGAGUCCUGGUAUUUGAUCCGUAAGCAAUUUUCAAGUUAAAUAGGUCUUUUGAUUCUUAUAUGCAAACUGCACAGCAGUAACAGCUGAAGGAAGCCCUUGAAACCAGAUUGAUAAGGAGAUAACACACCAAUUAUCCUCAUAUAAGCUACCAAAUGGCAGGCAGUAGUUCCUCUUGUGUUUUAGACAUGCAUGGAGGAACUGAGCUAGGGCCAGAAGCUGAAAAUAUUGUGUCGUGGUGGGAAUUAGGCAGCUGAUUGAUACAUAAGCGGGGAUCGUUUCAGAUCAGGAAAUGAGCAAACUCAUUGUGUAGUGAAUGCAGUGAGGUUUUCUAACUAAACCGGUCCAAUGAUGACUUUGCUUUGAGUAAAAGAAAACAAAUAAAGGAAUGAACCCAAUGCACUAAAACAGUAAUGUUCGACUAUUUCAGUGCUCUUAAACAAGGGUGGUAAUGCAAGCAUAUGAGCUGCUGGAGGACAGGUUAGAGAAGUGCUUGAGCUACAGCUGGGAGACCCCUGGCACAGCUUGAUGAGGGGUUGGGAUAGUACAAAGAUGACCCUGAUGCUCCACAGGCUGCAAAGUUCAUGCUGGAGCUUUGAGUGUCUCCAUAUAGCUAACUGAGCUGGCUCCAUGAAAAAUGGGAGCCUUCUGAAAGCUGCACUUACUUAAAAGUAUCGUAAAGCAGGAUUAAAAAAUAAGAAAAAUAAUUUAUUUUAAAUUCACCAAUUCGAAUUAUGUUGGUAAGUCAAAUGUCUCAACAAUCUGUGGGGGAGUUUGCUGAGCCAUGCCUCUUUUCCCCUACCGUGCACUUUCUGUCUGCAGGUGGGAGUACGAGUGGCCAAGAAAGGUGUCCAUAGCUUCCAGCCAUGGUGAUUUUCUCUGUAAGGAGGAUGCUCAUCCUCCCAAGCCUGUAUGGCCUAGGCUAGAGUCUCGGCCUCGUAUGAAGAGACUCGGUUUCUACUCUUGGCCCUGCUACUGGUCUUCAGCAUGACCAUGGGCAAGUCACCCCCCUUCUCUGCCUCACAGUUUUCCCAGCUAUAAAAAAUGAAGAUAACUACAGUGACCUCCUUUGUAAAAUGCUUUCAGCUAUUGAAGAAAGGUCAUAGGUCAUCCUGAGGCCCUGGGGCUAGCAUGGUUAAGGUAUGCAAGAUACACAGUGCCAACAAGACUGGGCUGAUAUGACCAGCUCUCCAUCUGGUCAUCUUUUACCCACCCCCAACUAAAAUGACCAGGCAUCCAUUUAUGGCUGGUUGGGUGGAGGCAGCUUGUGGUUUAUGUUCAGACCCACUAACCAUUUAACUUCUUUUAAUGUAAAGAAAAUUGAUUUUACUAUGAAAAGUUGAAAAAUGUCCUUUAAAAAAUGAACUGUUUUGGCAUUAUAUGCAGGAGAGCGACAUGAGGCCACUGUAGUCAGCAUACUUCGAAUUCACCUUCUGAAAUACCAUGCCUUAGAACUCAGACGGAUUCAGUAGACCCACAUGUUCCUGACCAUCUCCCAAAAUGCCUGUGUUAUAUGCGUCUAUAUUUGCAGCACUAACACAAAGAGAGGGUUUUCUUUCCCUAGGAAGUACGUUAUACAUAAAUUAUUGGACACAAAUUUGUUAGAUUGUUUAGGUGCUGCCAAAGUUUGAUUUUUCCAUGAAUUUACGGUUCAAAAAGAAGUCGUCCAUCUCCAUUGCCCAAGUCAGACUCCAGUGGCUACAGAACCGUUUCCACUUACAGGAAUGUUUCACGGCAGAGCUUUCAUGGAAGAGUCCUGCCCCUCCAGGACCCCACAGAUGCUUUCUCUAUGAGGGAGAGCACCGUCUGACCCAGUGUUUGCAGGCUCAUAUUUGUCCCCACCUUUAACAACUUUACAUCUACAGACUCCACCAUUUCAUUUGGCAGCAGUCUCCCCAGGCCUCUGAUCCUGCAAUUAUGAAUUAAUUAUUUACUGUGUACUUGUGACACAUUGCUUUACUUCACACCAGCACAGCAUGGCUUUUUUUUUCCAGUUCAGCCCCUAGUCAUAUUAUUUGUGGUAAUCUGCUGGUUUAUGGAGUAUACUAUCCCUUUGGCAAAGCAGUUUGACUUUUCUGGAAACGUUUCAACCCCUCUCAGUAAUCUGCACCCAAAGAGGUCAUUACAAAUAACCUCGUGUUAAUUUACAUUUGAACUUCAUCGUAUCAUAUCUUUCUUUCAGGAAGCUUCCCCAAAUGUUAUACAAGUCUAUAUACUCAUGUGAGCAGUUGGACCAUCUCUGAGACAGAGCCACCUAUGCAUGGUACAGAAAGAAGCAGCCAUGAAACAGUGCAUAGCAAUGCUGUACAAUUUAGCAUACGAAGUGAAGACCACAGCAUGAAUUAGAAAUAAGAGGGUGAAUUUGAGGAACUGUAGGAAGAAUCUAUUUGCUCAAGUCAAAAUUUGAGCAGGACAACUUGUUUUGAUGCUUGAUUUUUUUUCUUUAGAAGAGUUGGACCUUCCCCAAUUGAUUCUAAGUGGGCAGACCACUUUCUACAUAACAAGGAUUCUUGGAUCAAGUGUUGAUACCCACCUGCCCAUGACUCACUUCUCAAGGGAUCUCAUCCUCAGUGGCCGCAUCUAAAUGAGAGGCUGACUGCUCAGUAGCCCAAGACUACUGUGCAGUAGCAUUGCAUGGCAGAAACUGUGACACGAUGCUACUGCGCAGUAGUCUUGAACUACUGCGCAGUCAGCAUCACCAAAAAAUCAUUUGUCGGCACUACUGUGCAGUAACAACUGCACAGUCAGCGUCUCGUGUAGACAUGGCCAGUUCCUUCUACGUACAAAAUACCCAAUGACUUCAGUACAGGUCAGUCCUUUUUGAGGAUCGGGUUAUUCUUACAUUAAUUUACCUAAUCUGAUGAGAAAAUAAAAAGAAACGAAGGCUGAGGGGCAGCCUUCUCUGAAGUUAUUCCUAUUGCAUUUGUAUAUGAGGAAAUGCUUAAGUCUUUCUUUCACAGGUGGCUGGCAGAGUGGAAACGUUUUUUGUCAAAUGUUGUGUACCUCUGACUAUAUGCAUUCCUCUAAAGCAAAAGAAAAUUCUGUGAAGGCUUCACAGCACAAUAGGAAGGACGGAUGCUUUGGAAGGGACAAGCUCCAGAUGAAGCCAAAAUCUUGUGGAUGUCACGCUACCCAGUGCGGUUCAUUCCGGUCUGAGCCUACUGGAUUUCCCAGUAGCAUAUGGCUAUUCUCAAACACUGGAGUUGCCUUCUGCUGUGUUUGUCUUAUUCACAGGGACCAAGAAGCAUACAGACAGCAUGACCACCUGCUAUGGUGGUCUUGUUUCUACUCUUUGACAUCGUAUUUUCCUCCUCUGCUUCAGAAAAGUAGGUUCCUGCUGGUGCUGAAAUGAAAAGAAGCAAAAAAGCUACCCUGUAAACUAGGGAAAGAGCGUUGGUUGUUUUAAAGCCAUCUGUUUGGUGCUUGGGAGGUGUUUCCUGUUUUUAGUGUAUUGCAAGAAUUUCCCGCAGUAGUAGAUAAUUAGCUGCAGCUCCAUCCAUGACACCACAGUUCACUCUUCACUGAUAUAAUUACCCCAUGCCUCUGACAUUUUAGCUAUUGCUAUUAACCUUGCAUUGUGAAACGUCCUCUAAUGUGUUGUCUGAGUGAAAGCAAUUUUAUCUUUCCAGAUAGAAUUUGCAAUGGUACUCUUGAAAAUUUUCUCAUGUUAAUCCUCAGGUUAUGAUCUCUCUUCCAUACAUAUUACAUUUCCAGAUGGAGCUGAACAGAAGUUCCUCUUGCUGUCAGCCCUCACGUGUGAAGACUUUGACAGGUUUGGGGGUUUUUUUCCCUAAAAGCAGAGGGAGCCCUUAUUUCCUUGAGCAUUGAGAAAAUUCAUUAAGCAGAUGAUGGGCAUAUCUACAAGUGCACGUUUACUCUGCAGUAACCAAAAUUACGGCGCAGUACGGGCACACAUCUACAUGUGCACGCCCGUACUGAUAUGGUGACUUAUGCUGACUUGAGCAUAAAUUUGAUACCUGCAUCAUGCACAUAUCAAAUUUAUGCCCAAUUAGUUACUGUGCAGUAACGCACAAGUAGAGGCCUUACUGAGCAGUAACACUGUGUGUGUGGACUGACACGGGACUAAAUUUAGUCCCGUGUCAGUCCACACAAAAGUGUUAAUGUGCUUUAAUGCCUGAACGUGUAGACUCUGGCUUAUUCCUGCUUACUCCACAAUAACUUAGGGCAUAUGUAGGGCAUACGAAACAGGGGCCCUAAAUUGAAGCAGUGGGUUUUAAAAAACACUGCUUCAUUUUAGGGCUGAUUAAACCCCUGUGUCAUGCACACACCCUGCUGACUUAUCUACCUCUCCGGCAGGGAGGGGUAGGCAAGUUGCUGGCGGGUGGAGCAGUCCCUGGGCUGCGGAGGGGGGCUGGUGCUUCCCUCUGCGGCAGCAGUGGCCCCCCCAGGUGGCACCCCCCUUCAGGCACCCGGCUUGGGCGGUCCUGGGGGGCACUGCAGCUGCGGAGGGAAGCACUAGGCCCCCACGAAGCUCAGGCAGGCAGGCUCCAGGGUUGUGGGGGGCGGGAAGGAUCAGGCUCGCCACUUUUCUUGGGCUGAGCUGCUUUCUUGGGCUGCUGCCAAGCUGCCUGCAUGGGCUUCCUGCAAAGCCACGGAGCUGCACCAGUGCUCCUCGAAGGAGUUUUAGUUUGCUGCACCCCAAGUCAUUUAAAGUGCAUUACACCACCGAAUUUCCUACAGUGGCUGGAAUUAAUGUGCAAUAUGCCACCAAGGCAUGCAAACACUGACACCAUUAAAGCAAUGCAAAAGCAUUUAGCCUGCUUUAAAGUGUCAUGCACUCAUGCCUCUCAUUUUGUCUACACACGGUCUUACAGCACAGUAAAUUCAAGCUGGUGUAAAUGUACGUGUAGACGUGCCCAGUGGUAUCUAAAGGGCAGGGAAACUGCUUUCUAUAUAUUUAAAGAGUCCAGAAUAUGGAUGUUGAAGGGACCAGAGUGCUAAAAGAGUCUCAAAAGAUGAGGUAUAUACAGGAUCCCAUGUCAUCCUGCCCACGGAUCACACUCCACGACCGUCAUCUUCAUGAUAGCAAAAGCGAAUUCACAAAGGAGGCUUGUAGCACACUGUCACGUUCUAGGACCCCCAAAAUGAAGGCCCAGGCUCUUGAUUUACUUGGUGCAAGAUUUAUCCAUGAAGUUGUAAAAGUUCUUCGGUUGACUGACAAAAGAAUUGAUUAGGUCCAAUCCAUGUGUAUUUCUCUGAGACAGGGUUCAAAAGGGAGAUUUAAAGAAUGAUGGAUGCUGCAGGAAGAACCCUAGACUAAACAUCCAACCUCCUGCUGAAGCUAAAAUAUGCUGUUAUUUCACUUAACAAAAGCUAAUUGGGAGUUUCCUGUCAACACUUUUUUGAUCAAAUCUGCAUCGUCUGCAAAAUGGAAAUUUUCUGCAGGAAAAAGUCGGUUUUGACAAAAGGUUUCCAUUGGGGAAACUGAAAUGAAAUAAUUACCCUUAGGUUGGAUUGGCAUGAAUCAAUAUAUUCGGCUUGGUCAAAGAAAACCAAGACAUUUAGUUCCAGGUCAGUUUGAUAUUAGCCUGAUAUUAUCUGAACUGCCAUUGUGGUUCAUAGGCAGCUGUACUUUGGAUGUCACCUACCCCAUUCUCCUUUACCAGUUGUUUCCUACAUGUACUGCUUCUUUCAUGAUGCCCCAUAGGGUGCCUAGAAGACACACGAUGUUUGAGGGGAAAGGGUGUUAAGUUCUGGUCCUUUAUCCCAGGACACACAGUUUGGCUGGAGAAACUAGUCUGCAGAGGAGAAUGAGGCACAAGGCACUGUAGCAGCUCGGGUGGAUGCAGUUGGGUGCUCAAGCAAAACAAAAUGAAAUGUCAGCCUUUUUUAAAUGGAAAGUCCUGAACAAUUGUCAUUCCCCAAAAAGCCUGAUUGUCAAUUUGUCAUUUGAUUUGAGACACAUCAAAACAUGGAACAGAUAUUCUGAUUCCCGAACAACUGUAAUAAUAAUAAUAGUACAGGAAGUGUCAGGAUGGGAGAAAAGUGGAUUAUACUAAGUGCACAUGUACUUGGGAGGAGUGUGGGGAUGCAACCUGCACCCAAACCAGAGCUCAGGGCCAUCAUCUGCCUCUUUUCUUCUCAAAAACAAAUCUGAACGCUCUCUGACUUCCACUGAAUAAAGCUAGUGAAAGUACAUAUUAUUCCAGCUCUCCAUUUCUUACUAAUAUCCAGCCUGAUUCAGGAAGGAGUUGAUUAUUUUCUUGUAAGGGCUGAAAACAUGUGAAUAAGUGUGUGUGUGGCGGAGGGGGGGGGAGGGAGAGGUGCAAACAUUAUUUGCUUAGUGUAAAAAUCCUUAACAUUGUAAAAUAUGCCCAUUUUUCAAUGUAUUUUUACCAUAAUAUUAAAUCAGAUUUUUUUUCAUUCCAUUUUAGAAUUGAAAUGUUAAAGCAUAUGAGAAUUAGCCAACAUACAGCUUUACAGAAAACCACAUUUCCUUAUAGGAACCACAGUUUUUGGUAAAUGCAACAUUUAGGAAAUGAUAUAGAUCAUAUUAGUAGAUAUAUUUAGAUGAUAUAAAAAGGGCAAUUUUCCUGCCAUUUCCCAGUUGGUCUAAUACAAGGUAUCAUUUUGGAACCAAGAGUUCUAGGUUUGUUUUUUUUUUGUAGAUAAUAUUAGUAACAUUUGGAGAGAAAAGUCACAAAACCCAGAAGGUUUUAAACUCUGGGGAAUGGCAAUGACUUCUAAACUUCCCACCAAAUCAGAUCUUCAUUUUUUUACUAGCUCUUUGAUUGCUGAGUGCCUAAGCGUGUGUUGAUAGAAAUUAUAUCACUUAAUAUUAGAUCUCUUUUCCUGCUUCAGCAUGAGAGGACUUAGGAUUUCCAAAAGGGUGUGGGAGAUGUGACUGGCCUUGCAGGGGGGGCUGCAGCCAUCCUCCACACGGUGCGGGCAGAUCACACCAUGACAGCAGCUGCCAGGAGCUCUUUUGCAUCCCUGAAGCAGGUCUGGAUAGCGCACCUGCAAGAAUUGGCUGAGGCGCGUGCUGAGCCACUAAUGUUCAUUUCAACAAAACUCGGGAAGCCGGGAUAUUCCAAAUGGCUGAAGAAUUGAUAAUACGCUUGCAAAGCCUUUGAAAUUCCGGUCCACCAUGAAGACAAAAGAACAACAGAGUAAGUAAGGAACCACACAGACAUCCAAAAUGGAGUUUGCAUCAGACAGUCACAUGUCAAGUGCUUCAGCAUCAAACAGAAUUCACAAGCAACAAAGUCCCCACAUCAAAAGUCCCCACAUCACCACAGAGGGAACUUACCCUGAUCUGCAAGACCGGAAAUUGUUAUGUUUGUUUCCUCAACAGUCAUUUCAACCCAUCUGUAAUAUAAGGAAGUGGUUUUGAGUUAUCCUGGCUCUGAAAGUUAUUGCAGCUUGAUGGAACUUCAAGAGAUGGGGCAUGCCCCUGCUGCUAUGUCUGCUUCUGCAAGCAAACUGAGUUACUUACCAUAACACAACUGUGGAUUUUUUUGCUCAAAGAAAGGAUGUUUCCAGGUAAGCAUGGACACACUUUCCCUAAAUCUGGGCUUGCAAACUGUGCAUGUUCUAAUGUGUUCCAGGGUGUUGGUAGUAGCCGUGUUGGUCUACGGACAUAGGCAGACAAAGAACCUUGUUGUUUCCAGGCACUCAGAACUACAGAACUGACUUCUAAAAACUUUAAAAACUGAACAGGAAUUUCAGAACAAGAAAUCAUCCACAGACUGGAUUGGGUUAAGUAUGAUUUAAACAAGGACGAUAGAUUCAUAUCCCUUUAUGUGGACUAGAUUUUUGACUCCUUUGUUCCCAUGGGUUUAACUGCCUAUUUGUUUGCCUCUCCCAGCACUGACCCUCACUCCCCCUUCUCCCCCCCCCCACUCACCCUCUCUCAUCUUUUGUAUUCUAAUUUCUAUCUCUUUCUUGUACUGUGCUUUCUGCUCAGCCUUUCACAGCUUCUGAAGAAGCAAGCUUCAGUUCACAAAAGCUGGUGCUAUAUAUAUCUACUUUGGCUGGUCUAUAAAGUGCAAAUCUAUCCUGCCUUCUGCAUAAUUGACUCCUAGUGUGUUGGAGACUCCUCAGAUCCAAUUGUCUGAUGACACAAAAUUCAGCUGAAACACCCAUCUAGGACAGGCAGCUGCUCCCUGAAUGUUUCCAAAAGGAGGGAGUGGCCAUUGCUACAAAAAGUAUCAAAAACUGUUAUAAAUGGAUCCCUUAUCAGUAUACGUCUUUGCCCUCCUCCCUGCUUCUAAAUUGGCCACAAUACACAAUGAUCAGUGUCAUAAAACCAUGAAUGUGAAUUGUGUACCCAAUAGUUAUGACUGCCUUCCUACCAGUACAGUGAUCAGAUGAUGUUGGUGGCCUAAGGAUCCUGCAAGCCUUUAUUGAGCAUUUCAAGAAGUCAUGCACUGUUUUACUCUGAUGUCAUGAAAAGGGACAAAAUGUGGCAAAUGCAAGGUGAAAUGGGCAAAACCCCAUUUAAACAAUAAUUCAGAGUUACUCCAAUGUACUGUAUAAUUAGAGCUCAAGCUUGUGAAAUACAGAAUGUUCUUAUCUCGCACUGACUUUGCUUUGAAGGAUGUUUCGCUAUUUUUUCCCCAUGACUCACUCUGCCUGUAUUGUAUAUGGGGUGCCUCUGUUUCAGGCACCUGAAAUGAAAAGAUGGUCUCUGCUCCAAACAAUUUUCAGUCUAAGUUUCAUAUAACAAUUGCAUGUCAUAACUUCACAGAGUGCUUGUAUGAACAUUGUUCUUUUUGACGUUCAUUACAUUGUUCUUCCUUCCUGCACUGUAAUACAUACUGUCGCGGAGAAAAUUAAAAGUAGAGAUGCUAUACAGUUACAUAGGAACAUCAAAAAUAGAGAGAAGGGUUGGGUUUUUGGGGUUUUUUUUUUUUUUUGAAUAGUAGGACUAUAAUUAAGCCAUCAACACAUCUCAGAGAAAUAAAACUGAGCCUUUUAAUUAGCUUCUUGAAUGAGAAUAAAUGCUUCAUUAUUCUUAACCAUAUCAAGCUGAGAACAUUAUUAAAGUCUGAAGGAAUAAUGAACAACAUGACAGAAAACACAUUAGAGCACAUGCAGGAAUGUGUGCGCCUAUUAGGCAUUCCACAUAAAUAUGCCCAUCACUGCUAUCUAGGAGGAAACGAAUAAAGGAAAGAAACAGAGAGCAUGAAAAAAAAAGGAACAGUGGAGACAAGAUUCUUGCUGGCUUGCGUGCAGUGAAAAAACAAGUCCUAAAGAAGUGUACCAGCAGUGUGAAACACAACAGCAAGCUUUGGCAUUCAUUUUUGAUAAACACCCAAGAGUUCAGACACUUUAGCCAAAACUUAUCUAAACUGUAUGCAUUUCUUGGUCUGAUUCUCUUCUCAGUGAAUUUUCUUUAACCUCAGUGUCUGCUUAGUAGGGCUGUGCGAAACUGCACUGUUCUGUUCUGACUUCAGUUUUGAGGUCUGGACAGAACAGUGUUUUGUAUCAAAUUUCAUUUCGAGUAGAAACAGCCUCACCAUUUCGCUUUGUCGAAACAGUAAAGUUAUUUUGACGCUGUUUUGACGUUUCACCCGACCAUUGUGCCGGGGAAAGGAAUUCAGCCCAGCUGGGCUGAGUUUCCCCAGCCGGAUGGUGGGGCUAGGGUUGGGAACUCAGCCCAGCUGGGCUGAGUGCCCAUCCCCCAUGCUAGAUCAGGCUGGGGAUGGGCUGACUUCCCAUCCCCAUCCUGAUCUAGUGCAGGGGAUGGAAACUCAGACCAGCUGGGCUGGUUUCCUUUCCCAAGCUCGAUCCUAGCACCAGGGAUGGGAAGUCAGUCUAACUGGGCUGACUUCCUGUCCUCUGCCCAAUCUAGCACCGGGGAGGGGAAGUCAGCCCAGCUGGACUGACUUCCCAUCCCCAGCACUACGGUCAAAAUGUUUCGACUUUCGAAACGUUUCAGCUAGCCAUUUCAAUUUUGCUGUUUUGACCUUGAAAUGAGUCAAAACAGUGUUGAAAUGAAACACGGUGAAAUUGCAUGCAGCCCUUCUGCUUAGGAUUCCAGAUUUUGCCUCCCAGGGGUAUUUAUUUGGAAAAUCAUUCUUCUCCAAAAGUAUAAGAAUUGAAGGAGCUUUGCAGUGAUUACUCACCUCCCCCCAGCCACCCCAGAUCUGAAGGAAGGAUGAACCAGCCUUUUAUAUUGAUUAGGUUGUUUUUUCUUAGUUUGCUAUAAAGAGGAAACAUCAUUCAGAGUCUUUAAAAAUACUGGUGUUUACUGCCUAGGUGUAUAACUAAACACUGGAGAUGUAUGGGUCAUCACACUCUGUGAACAAAACUGGUACUGUGCACUCACACCCCCAAAUGAGCAAGGCCUCCAUAAGUGCUUAAUCAUAAGCACAUGCAUCAAUCCAUUCCUAUUCAGCAAAGCCUUAAAAUGCAUGCUGAAAUCUCAUUGGCUCCAAUGCAAGUUAAACAUGGGCUUUGCUGAAUCAAAGCUUCAGGGUCAAAUCCAGAUCCCAAUGUCCUUUUUUAAAUACUUAGGCCAUGUCCUGGACAUAAGACAAGGGACAAAAGAAUUUCUCACUGCCUUCCUGGCCAUGAAGGAGCUGCUCUGAAGAGGCUACUUCAUGUCAGUGGUUGGCCCAUUGCAUGGUUCCUGUAAUGGGAAACCCCCGGCCCCAUCGUGUAGAGCUGAGAAAAGAAAAGGGUGGAAUGUUACCUUUAAGGCAGGGUUUCUUCAGCCAGAAGGAGCAGGUCUUGGGAAUGCAUAAACUCAGCUCUGGGGAAGAGCUAGGCAGGCAGCGCCUGAUGGUGCUGGAGAGAGGAGUUCCCUGCUACAAGCUGCAGAAGCUGGACUUGAGAAUUUGAACCAUGAGUCAGAUCAGGGGGCUGGAGCUGGGAUAACCCCAGUAGGACUGAAACAUCUGGGGAGGGCCAGGGGGCAGACACCCCAGAAGAAUUCCAGUGUGAUUGUGUCAUGAUUUUUGCAAAGUGGAUUCCUGGCUGUAGAAGCCCACACCAUGAGACACGGGACAGCUGGAUGGGGAGCUGGGAGACUGCUGAGAGUACCCUGAGUGAGUAUGUGGUGUGGUUAUUGCUUGCAGAGUAGUUUGGGUUAGCAAGCUCUGGACACAGAAGAAGGAGCACCAACCCUGGGAAACCAAGUAGCACACUGAAGUGGCACAGUCCCUGGGAACUGCUGAUUGGGCCAAAGACUUGGUGGUAACUGAUGAGUCAGAGGAACUGGUAAGCCUUGAAGGCCAGUGCAGUGUUCACAAAGAGAAAGCACCAUAUGGGCUAGAGAAGGGGUUGUUCUGGGAUGUGAACCUUUAGAGAAGCACCUAAGAUCGUCCUCCAGCAGAACUGAAGGCCUGCUCCUUAACUAGCAUUAACAACACAGGUAGGGCAGGAAAGAGACUAUUAGGCAUUCAGGACAUCAAGUAAGCAGACAAAGGCCAAUAGCAGGGUGUGCUGGACCAUAUCAAACAUCUGGACCAACUACUGUCUUCUCUCUAAAGAGGUCCUCUCUCCCUGUUCCCAGCUGCCUGCCUCUGCCUGUUAACCUGCAGCAUGUUUUUGCAUGGUACAUGUGCAUCUGGUACCACACUCCACACCCAUGCAGACCCACCUCAGCACCAAGGACCAUCACCAGUACAACCACCUGGAAAAUGUCUGCAGUUCCAGAGAAAGACAUGAGCUUGUUCAUGGGCUUCAGAUUGGGCACCAGAAAUUUUAUUAAGCUACAAUUUCUGCUCCAAAAUCUUGGUAAGCAAAUUGCAUGGGAUAUUCCCUACCACAUUACCUUUGAUCCCUUUAAAAUAUCAAAUAGUAAAUGCUAUACCCAAAGUAGUUAUGUCAGCAUUCAACUGUAUCAGCUUGAUUUUUAUCCUUUGCUUCAAUGCACAAUUUCUCCUACUUGUAUUUUCUUUGCAAGAAUUUGCAAUGACAUAUAUUUAAAAAGCAGCAAUUUUAAUGAAUGCUUUGUAAGGUUCAAGUGAUUUCUGAAAAAGUGAGCUUCAUUCCUAAUUAAGGUAAUGAGAUAGAACAGCUAAUGCAUCAAAUUUCAUGCAUUUGAGCCCAAAGGGGAUUGAGAGAUAAGCUCUCGAAACAAAGAUGUGAUUCAUUAUCUGAAGCAGAAAAUGGAAAUAAUCACAUUCAUGGAAAUGAAUUGUGAAGAAGAUAUUAUGCUGGAAAACAAAUAACCUGGACUGAAGAGGAAGAAAUGCACCUGUAAUUAGCAAAGGGGUGGAGCUGGAGCCUGGAAUAAUUUUGCAUGGUUUUAUUUAUUACCCUCUGGUAAUUUCUAUCCCAAAACUUAAUAUGUAAGAAGAAAAGAGACUAUCUAGCAGCUCUAAUUAAAGUGAAUCAAAACCCAAAACUGUUGCCAGUUUAAUAUUGCUUGAUGUUUUGUUUCCCUGAACUAUUCUGUG